GAAAAAGGAAAUGAACCAGCUAGGAACCAAUGUCUUCCUGUCAAUUUAGGAGGAACCUCAGCCUCCUGAGAUCCUGCCUCAGUGCCAGGCACCCUCCGGAGUUCUACUGCUGUUGCCCAAGUGACUUGGACCAAGAAAAGCCUCUGAUGACAAAACAAGAUGGUCACAUUCACUUCAGUGCAGCCUCAGCAACACACAGCCUCAGGCAGUGCCCAUCAAUGGGACUGUUCUUCUGGGUCACAGGCAAGUCUCGAUCUCUUGACAGAUGUCUGCACCACCGACCAUAAGACAGAGGACCUCAGGAUCAUGUGGGACAGUGUCCUUGUCAGUUUUACGGUGUGACCACGCACAUGGAUGGGGCUUCCUUAGAAGAGUACAAGAGAGUACAAGCCAGAAGUUGACAGAACAAGAAUGGGGCAUGCGCUGAAGCAAAGGAAAGGGUCCAGACAUGAAGAUGAGGCAGGAAUGCCAGCAUGUCCACCACAUGUGGGAGCUCUCCAUAAUACCCCCUUGUAUAUAAGUGGGAACUGCUAUUUUGCUGCCUUUGGUCUGGGAUAGCCUUCUGCACAAGACCUGGCUUUCCUUGGGCUGAGGAUUGAGUCUCCUCUCCAGACCACUGAUCCCCAGGCUCAAGGACCCAGCCUUCCUGUUGCAGACCAGUUUUGGCCAGAGGACAGUGUUUGCCAGGCAGCAGAGACUCUGACCCUGACCAUGGAACAGAGGAAGGCAUACAACUGGGAUAGGAACCUUGGGCUCUCAUCAACCCCAUUCUCCAAGCCAAGUUAAUGAACAUAUGCUGUUAAAAUAAAAACCUUUGAGGUUAAGACCAUGGCUCAGGAUAUAAAGCACUUGCUACAC